UACGUAGGGUGCAAGCGUUAAUCGGAAUUACUGGGCGUAAAGCGUGCGCAGGCGGUUUGGUAAGAAAGAUGUGAAAUCCCAGAGCUUAACUUUGGAACUGCAUUUUUAACUGCCAAGCUAGAGUAUGUCAGAGGGGGGUAGAAUUCCACGUGUAGCAGUGAAAUGCGUAGAGAUGUGGAGGAAUACCGAUGGCGAAGGCAGCCCCCUGGGAUAAUACUGACGCUCAUGCACGAAAGCGUGGGGAGCAAACAGG
rnacentral:rRNA from 1 species